rnacentral:misc_RNA from 1 species
UACGUAGGUGGCAAGCGUUGUCCGGAUUUACUGGGUGUAAAGGGCGCGUAGGCGGGAUAUCAAGUCAGUCGUGAAAUACCGAGGCUCAACCUCGGGGCUGCGAUUGAAACUGAUAUUCUUGAGUAUCGGAGAGGAAAGCGGAAUUCCUAGUGUAGCGGUGAAAUGCGUAGAUAUUAGGAGGAACACCAGUGGCGAAGGCGGCUUUCUGGACGACAACUGACGCUGAGGCGCGAAAGUGUGGGGAGCAAACAGG